rnacentral:lncRNA from 1 species
CGCGGGUGUUUCUGCAAAGUUAUCUAUAAUUUGUUUUAUGUUAAGUUCCAAACUGUAGUACAUGUAUCAACGCAAGUCCGUUUAACGCGAUUGCCCCAUAGUUAUUCUCAGGUAGGUUUUUAAAAGUGAUAACUCACUGUUGGAUCGCUCACAUUCGCAACUCGUCACCCAAAUGGUAGCUAUGAUUUUUAAGAUAACAGAAAUAUU